UGGGGAAUUUUGCGCAAUGGUCGAAAGACUGACGCAGCGACGCCGCGUGUGGGAGGAAGCCUUUCGAGGUGUAAACCACUGUCAGGGGGGAAGAACUCCCAUCCUUCGAAUAGUUGGGUGGGUUGACGGUACCCCCAGAGGAAGCGCCGGCUAACUCCGUGCCAGCAGCCGCGGUAAGACGGAGGGCGCAAGCGUUGUUCGGAAUUACUGGGCGUAAAGCGCGGGCAGGUGGUCUGUUUAGUCUUCUGUGAAGCUCCGGGGCUCAACUCCGGACAUGCAGAAGAUACUGGCAGACUGGAGUAUGGUAGAGGCAAGCGGAAUUCCUGGUGUAGCGGUGGAAUGCGUAGAUAUCAGGAAGAACACCUGUGGCGAAGGCGGCUUGCUGGGCCAUUACUGACCCUCAUCCGCGAAAGCGUGGGGAGCAAACAGGAUUAGAUACCCCCGUAGUCC
rnacentral:rRNA from 1 species